rnacentral:rRNA from 1 species
GACGUAGGGCGCGAGCGUUGUCCGGAUUUAUUGGGCGUAAAGAGCUCGUAGGCGGUCUGUCGCGUCGGGAGUGAAAACUCAGGGCUUAACCCUGAGCCUGCUUCCGAUACGGGCAGACUAGAGGUAUGCAGGGGAGAACGGAAUUCCUGGUGUAGCGGUGGAAUGCGCAGAUAUCAGGAGGAACACCGGUGGCGAAGGCGGUUCUCUGGGCAUUACCUGACGCUGAGGAGCGAAAGUGUGGGGAGCGAACAGG